UACAGAGGUCUCGAGCGUUGUUCGGAUUCAUUGGGCGUAAAGGGCGCGUAGGCGGCGGGGUAAGUCUGGUGUGAAAUCUCGGAGCUCAACUCCGAAAUUGCACCGGAUACUGCGUAACUCGAGGACUGUAGAGGAGAUCGGAAUUCACGGUGUAGCAGUGAAAUGCGUAGAUAUCGUGAGGAAGACCAGUUGCGAAGGCGGAUCUCUGGGCAGUUCCUGACACUGAGGCACGAAGGCCAGGGGAGCAAACGGG
rnacentral:rRNA from 1 species